rnacentral:piRNA from 1 species
UGAGGCACUGCGAAUCGAGGAACCCUCCUCA